UACGAAGGGGGCUAGCGUUGCUCGGAAUUACUGGGCGUAAAGGGCGCGUAGGCGGUCUUGCAAGUCCUGUGUGAAAUCCCUCGGCUCAACUGAGGAACUGCACAGGAAACUGCUUGGCUUGAGUUCGGGAGAGGGAAGCGGAAUUCCGGGUGUAGCGGUGAAAUGCGUAGAUAUCCGGAGGAACACCGGUGGCGAAGGCGGCUUCCUGGACCGACACUGACGCUGAGGCGCGAAAGCGUGGGGAGCGAACAGG
rnacentral:rRNA from 1 species